UACCAGUGGCGAANGCGACUUUCUGGACUGUAACUGACACUGAGGCACGAAAGCGUGGGGAGCAAACAGGAUUAGAUACCCUGGUUAGUCCACGCCGUAACGAUGAGUACUAGGUGUCGGGGGAAAACCCCCGGUGCCGAANUUAACACAUUAAGUACUCCCCCUGGGGGGUACNCUCGCAAGAGU
rnacentral:rRNA from 1 species